GGAGGAUCCAGUUUUUGACACCCACUUUUUCUUGCCUGUUUUUUCUGGACAGAAAGAAAACCCUCCAUUUAAAUAGAAUGCAGAAAGUGACUGUUAAAUUGUAAAAUUAACGGAACCUACAGAUGGAAACAUGUGUAAAAAAGAAAAAACCUCAUGUAAUCUAUAAAUAAAGUAAUUCAACAUCUUGUAGCAGCCUCGUAGAGAUCGUUCCACAGCAGUUAAGGAUGACCAAAGGUGAACAGUUCUAGUUUUCAACAUGAACACAGACAUGUCACACAGAGAUUAAUCUAAACAAGUACAAUUUGAUUAAAAAGAAUUUGUGCUCAUAUACAUGUACGUUGUACAAUUUGUACCUGUAUAGUGGAAAAUUACAUGUGCAAUUUAUUAAGAACAGAAGACCAACAUAAAAGGGCUAAAUGUUAUAGAUAUCUGUAAAUUUACAUUAUGUUCAUAAGAACAGCAGUAUCAACAUUUGAACAGUAACAUCAUCUAUUAAUUUUU
rnacentral:lncRNA from 1 species